rnacentral:rRNA from 1 species
AGUGAACGCUGGCGGUAGGCCUAACACAUGCCAGUAGAACGGCAGCACAGUAAGAGCUUGCUCUUACGGGUGGCGAGUGGCGGACGGGUGAGGAAUACAUCGGAAUCUACUUUUUCGUGGGGGAUAACGUAGGGAAACUUACGCUAAUACCGCAUACGACCUACGGGUGAAAGCAGGGGAUCUUCGGACCUUGCGCGAUUGAAUGAGCCGAUGUCGGAUUAGCUAGUUGGCGGGGUAAAGGCCCACCAAGGCGACGAUCCGUAGCUGGUCUGAGAGGAUGAUCAGCCACACUGGAACUGAGACACGGUCCAGACUCCUACGGGAGGCAGCAGUGGGGAAUAUUGGACAAUGGGCGCAAGCCUGAUCCAGCCAUACCGCGUGGGUGAAGAAGGCCUUCGGGUUGUAAAGCCCUUUUGUUGGGAAAGAAAAGCAGCAGGUUAAUACCCCGCUGUUCUGACGGUACCCAAAGAAUAAGCACCGGCUAACUUCGUG